rnacentral:rRNA from 1 species
UACGGGGGGGGGCAAGCGUUGUUCGGAAUUACUGGGCGUAAAGGGUUCGUAGGCGGCCAACUCAGUCGGACGUGAAAUCCCUCGGCUUAACCGGGGAACUGCGUCCGAUACUGGAUGGCUUGAGUGUGGGAGAGGGAUGCGGAAUUCCAGGUGUAGCGGUGAAAUGCGUAGAUAUCUGGAGGAACACCGGUGGCGAAGGCGGCAUCCUGGACUACUACUGACGCUGAGGAGCGAAAGCGUGGGGAGCAAACAGG